GUCGGAGUGGCGGAACUGGCAGACGCGUACGGUUGAGGGCCGUAUGGGCCCAGCCCAUGGGGGUUCAAGUCCCCCCUCCGACACCA
rnacentral:tRNA from 1 species